AGUGAACGCUGGCGGUAGGCCUAACACAUGCAAGUCGAACGGCAGCACAGUAAGAGCUUGCUCUUACGGGUGGCGAGUGGCGGACGGGUGAGGAAUACAUCGGAAUCUACUUUUUCGUGGGGGAUAACGUAGGGAAACUUACGCUAAUACCGCAUACGACCUACGGGUGAAAGCAGGGGAUCUUCGGACCUUGCGCGAUUGAAUGAGCCGAUGUCGGAUUAGCUAGUUGGCGGGGUAAAGGCCCACCAAGGCGACGAUCCGUAGCUGGUCUGAGAGGAUGGUCAGCCACACUGGAACUGGAACACGGUCCAGACUCCUACGGGAGGCAGCAGUGGGGAAUAUUGGACAAUGGGCGCAAGCCUGAUCCAGCCAUACCGCGUGGGUGAAGAAGGCCUUCGGGUUGUAAAGCCCUUUUGUUGGGAAAGAAAAGCAGCAGGUUAAUACCCCGCUGUUCUGACGGUACCCAAAGAAUAAGCACCGGCUAACUUCGUG
rnacentral:rRNA from 1 species